CCUACGGGUGGCAGCAGUGGGGAAUAUUGCACAAUGGGCGCAAGCCUGAUGCAGCCAUGCCGCGUGUGUGAAGAAGGCCUUCGGGUUGUAAAGCACUUUCAGCGGGGAGGAAGGCGUUAAGGUUAAUAACCUUGGCGAUUGACGUUACCCGCAGAAGAAGCACCGGCUAACUCCGUGCCAGCAGCCGCGGUAAUACGGAGGGUGCAAGCGUUAAUCGGAAUUACUGGGCGUAAAGCGCACGCAGGCGGCUGGCAAGUCGGAUGUGAAAUCCCCGGGCUCAACCUGGGAACUGCAUUCGAAACUGGCAGGCUAGAGUCUUGUAGAGGGGGGUAGAAUUCCAGGUGUAGCGGUGAAAUGCGUAGAGAUCUGGAGGAAUACCGGUGGCGAAGGCGGCCCCCUGGACAAAGACUGACGCUCAGGUGCGAAAGCGUGGGGAGCAAACAGGAUUAGAUACCCGGGUAGUC
rnacentral:rRNA from 1 species